rnacentral:rRNA from 4 species
GCCCUAGUAACGGCGAGUGAAGCGGCAACAGCUCAAAUUUGAAAUCUGGCGUAAGCCCGAGUUGUAAUUUGUAGAGGAUGCUUCUGGGUAGCGGCCGGUCUAAGUUCCUUGGAACAGGACGUCAUAGAGGGUGAGAAUCCCGUAUGUGACUGGCUUGCACCCUCCACGUAGCUCCUUCGACGAGUCGAGUUGUUUGGGAAUGCAGCUCUAAAUGGGAGGUAAAUUUCUUCUAAAGCUAAAUACCGGCCAGAGACCGAUAGCGCACAAGUAGAGUGAUCGAAAGAUGAAAAGCACUUUGGAAAGAGAGUUAAAAAGCACGUGAAAUUGUUGAAAGGGAAGCGCCCGCAACCAGACUUUGCGGCGGUGUUCGGCUGGUCUUCUGACCGGUUUACUCGCCGCCGUGAGGCCAUCAUCGUCUGGGACCGCUGGAUAAGACCUGAGGAAUGUAGCUCCCUUCGGGGUGUGUUAUAGCCUCUGGUGAUGCAGCGCGUCUCGGGCGAGGUCCGCGCUUCGGCAAGGAUGAUGGCGUAAUGGUUGUCGGCGGCCCGUCUUGAAACACGGACCAAGGAGUCUAACAUCUAUGCGAGUGUUCGGGUGUCAAACCCCUACGCGUAAUGAAAGUGAACGGAGGUGGGAACUUUUUGUGCACCAUCGACCGAUCCUGAUGUCCUCGGAUGGAUUUGAGUAAGAGCAUAGCUGUUGGGACCCGAAAGAUGGUGAACUAUGCCUGAAUAGG